ACUUCGAGGGAGUUUUUGGCGGGAAAAUUUGUAAGGUUUGGAGAAGACAAGAUGGCGCUGGUUACUUCGUGUCAUCAAAGGGCAUUUUUGUUCACAAAUACCCGCUUAUUUUACGUUAUAACGACUGGUUAGUUUUUGAAAUUAUAACUCCAAAAAGACGUGCAUCUAUUGUGAUGUUAUUUGUUGUGAAAGACGGCCCGAAAUUUCGCUACAUCGCUGAGCGCCCUGAGCCUGUACUGAUUUAUAAAAAAAUUACAAGCAACAGCAAUUGCAACUAUAUGACGAAAAAACCAAAUACCAAUGUGUACAAGCCAAUCAAGUCCAACGUAUUGUCAUCUUUGGAUGUGUGAAAUAAGUUCAGUUGGAUUUGCAGAUGAAGCACUAAAGCACAUGGAAGGUCAGUUUUAAUUAGUUUUAUAUUAGGCCAAAUAAAAAAAAAUACUUGGUUAGCGUCACCGCCCGCCUCUCGAUUUUCUGCCGCCUCUGAAUUUUUU
rnacentral:lncRNA from 1 species